UUCGCAAUGCCCGAAAGGGUGACGAAGCGACGCCGCGUGGGUGAGGAAGGCCUUCGGGUUGUAAAACCCUGUCAGGAGUUAAGAAAUGUAAGUGCGCUAAUAUCGUGCUUAUUUGACAAAGGCUCCAAAGGAAGCCACGGCUAACUCUGUGCCAGCAGCCGCGGUAAUACAGAGGUGGCGAGCGUUGUUCGGAAUUAUUGGGCGUAAAGAGCACGUAGGUGGGUUUGCAAGUCAGAUGUGAAAGCCUUCUGUUCAACGGAAGAAUUGCAUCUGAAACUGCUAAUCUUGAGUAUAGGAGGGGAGAAUGGAACUUCUGGUGGAGCGGUGAAAUGCGUAGAUAUCAGAAGGAACGCCGGCGGCGAAAGCGAUUCUCUGGCCUAUUACUGACACUCAGUGUGCGAAAGCUAGGGGAGCAAACGGGAUUAGAUACCCCGGUAGUCCUGGCCGUAAACGAUGGGCACUAAGUAGAGGGGUUUU
rnacentral:rRNA from 2 species